GAUGAACGCUGGCGGCGUGCCUAAUACAUGCAAGUCGAGCGAACAGACGAGGAGCUUGCUCCUCUGACGUUAGCGGCGGACGGGUGAGUAACACGUGGAUAACCUACCUAUAAGACUGGGAUAACUUCGGGAAACCGGAGCUAAUACCGGAUAAUAUAUUGAACCGCAUGGUUCAAUAGUGAAAGACGGUUUUGCUGUCACUUAUAGAUGGAUCCGCGCCGCAUUAGCUAGUUGGUAAGGUAACGGCUUACCAAGGCAACGAUGCGUAGCCGACCUGAGAGGGUGAUCGGCCACACUGGAACUGAGACACGGUCCAGACUCCUACGGGAGGCAGCAGUAGGGAAUCUUCCGCAAUGGGCGAAAGCCUGACGGAGCAACGCCGCGUGAGUGAUGAAGGUCUUCGUAUCGUAAAACUCUGUUAUUAGGGAAGAACAAAUGUGUAAGUAACUAUGCACGUCUUGACGGUACCUAAUCAGAAAGCCACGGCUAACUACGUG
rnacentral:rRNA from 1 species